AUUGAACGCUGGCGGCAUGCCUUACACAUGCAAGUCGAACGCGAAAGAGGGGCAACCCUUGAGUAGAGUGGCGAACGGGUGAGUAACGCAUCGGAACGUAUCCAGUAGUGGGGGAUAACCCAUCGAAAGAUGGGCUAAUACCGCAUACGCCCCGAGGGGGAAAGUGGGGGAUCCGCAAGGACCUCACGUUAUUGGAGCGGCCGAUGUCCGAUUAGCUAGUUGGCGGGGUAAGAGCCCACCAAGGCGACGAUCGGUAGCUGGUCUGAGAGGAUGAUCAGCCACACUGGGACUGAGACACGGCCCAGACUCCUACGGGAGGCAGCAGUGGGGAAUUUUGGACAAUGGGGGCAACCCUGAUCCAGCCAUGCCGCGUGAGUGAAGAAGGCCUUCGGGUUGUAAAGCUCUUUCGGCCGGAACGAAAUCGCAUCCUCUAAUACGGGGUGUGGAUGACGGUACCGGAAGAAGAAGCACCGGCUAACUACGUGCCAGCAGCCGCGGUAAGAC
rnacentral:rRNA from 1 species